rnacentral:rRNA from 1 species
GUCCACGCCGUAAACGUUGGGCGCUAGGUGUGGGGAACCUUCCACGUUCUCCGUGCCGUAGCUAACGCAUUAAGCGCCCCGCCUGGGGAGUACGGCCGCAAGGCUAAAACUCAAAGGAAUUGACGGGGCCCGCACAAGCGGCGGAGCAUGCGGCUUAAUUCGAUGCAACGCGAAGAACCUUACCUAGGCUUGACAUAUACCGAAAACUCAUAGAGAUAUGGGGUCCGCAAGGGCGGUAUACAGGUGGUGCAUGGUUGUCGU